rnacentral:misc_RNA from 1 species
CUCUCUAACGUGUUUAAUACACAGUGGUGUUCGAGUAAACGGCUUCCUUCUGAUCAGCCACGUUGGCUGUGAAGUAAUGUGAAACGUGCUUUGGAAAGAGUUUGUUACAUGGAAAGUAAAUCGAAGACGAAAGAGGCAUCGUAGCUGCGACACUUGCAAUGGACACGGAAAUGCCAGCUGAGGCGAGGGUGUAUGAAGACAAGGAACCGCCUCGCGAGCAGAAGGUUCAACCUUACAGAUGGAAAUGGACUCCAGGAAGGAUCUACCACUGGGUACUUUCAUUCACACUCGCCGCAUAUAUCAUGUGGCGGUACGCGAGCAAUGAAUACAUGACUACGACCUCGAGGGGACACUUGAACGUGCAACGUGCUUUGUGCGACUCCCUUCGAUACAAUCUUUUCCAGAAAGGUACAUUUCUCGUGAAACAAAUGCCGCAUGCCUUCAGGAAGAGCCCUUACUGGUCUUCACAGAAAACAAGACGUGAUGAAUUGGGGAUGGCAGACCACGAGUACGUCAUGAUCAACGCGUGGAAGUGGUACCUCUUGCAUCCCGUGCUUGGCCGGUUGACAGCCUACGCGACACCAUCGCUGGUACCCGUCUUCUACGCUGCCUACUCAUCCCUCUUCGUGGCCUUCCACUUCGGCUGGGAAGUGACUCUGCUGUACCUGGGCCAACACGCCGCGUUUUACGCAGCCGCAGCAAUGCGUAUCCCUGUACUCUGCUACGCGGUCGCCAUCGUCAUCCACUGCCAGAAGUUUGUUCUUCCUUUUGAGCCUUUCGAGUACAUGUUUCCCAGGUACGGCCUGAUGCCUACAGGGCAGCCUUUGUCGCCUUCCACUGGAACCUCAUGCGCGGACUCAGCUUCAGCCUUGACUUUGUCAAAUCCGAGCGCCAGAAGCAAGGCGAGGAGAGCAGCCGUAGGUGGCCGCCGUACUGGCAAUCGCUCGCCUACGUGAUCUACCUACCCACGAUGUACCUGGGACCACCACAGAACUACGACGACUACCUCGUCCAGCUGAACAAGACAAGACCCAGCUGCACGCCCAUGGUUAUUGCUGGAGCCAUCGCGAGGUUGCUUCGUUCCGGCGCCCACUUCUUCCUCAUGGAAUUUAUGGGUCACUUCUUCUACAG